GAUGAACGCUGGCGGCGUGCCUAAUACAUGCAAGUCGAGCGAACAGACGAGGAGUUUGCUCCUCUGACGUUUUCGGCGGACGUGUGAGUAACACGUGGAUACCCUCCCUAUAAGACUGGGAUAACUUCGGGACACCGGAUCUAAUACCGUAUUAUAUAUUGAUCCAUAUGAUUCAAUAGUGAAAUACGGUUUUAUUGUUACUUAUAGAUGCAUCCGCGCCUUAUUUGCUAGUUGGUAAGGCAGCGGCUUACCAAGGCAAUGAUGCGUAGCCGACCUGAGAGGGUGUUCGGCAAAACGGGAACUGAGACAGGGUCCAGACUCCUACGGGAGGCAGAGGUAGGGAAUCUCGGGCAAGGGGCGAAAGCCGGACGGGGAAAGGCCGCGGGGGUGAGGAAGGUCUUCGGAUCGAAAGACUCUGUGAAUAGGGAAGAAGAAAUGUGGAAGGAACUAUGCACGUCGUGACGGUACCUAAUCAGAAAGAGACGGCUAACUACGUG
rnacentral:rRNA from 1 species